AGUGGGAUAACUGGGUCAACUGGUGAUUCCAUCCCAAGUUUUCUGAGGAAUCUCCAUAUUGCUCUUCAGAGUGGUUGCACCAAUUUGCACUCCCACCAGAAAU
rnacentral:pre_miRNA from 1 species